AUUGAACGCUGGCGGCAGGCUUAACACAUGCAAGUAGAACGAGUGGCGGACGGGUGAGAAAUGUCUGGGAAACUGCCUGAUGGAGGGGGAUAACUACUGGAAACGGUAGCUAAUACCGCAUACCAUCGGAUGUGCCCAGAUGGGAUUAGCUAGUAGGUGGGGUAACGGCUCAACUAGGCGACGAUCCCUAGCUGGUCUGAGAGGAUGACCAUCAACACUGGAACGAGUAACCGGCCCGUACUCCGACGGGAUGCAGCAGUGGGGAUUAGUGCACAAUGGGCGCAAGCCUAAGGCAGCCAUGCCGCGUGUAUGAAGAAGGCCUUCGGGUUGUAAAAUACUUUCAGCGGUGAGGCGUUACCCGCAGAAGAAGCACCGGCUAACUCCGUGCCAGCAGCCGCGGUAAUAC
rnacentral:rRNA from 1 species